CUUGUGCUGGUGAAGGUCUUAGCCAGGCUAAGAAAGCAGACAUAAGAUCAAUGCUGAAAUUUAUGCCUGCCUGUGACAGAGAGUUUAUGUCACUUCUUGUGUAAAAGUAAUUAAUGUUUCUUUUAGAUAUAAGAAAGUCAUGACAGUAAUGCUAUUUAAACUUUGUGCCAGGCUAUUAGAAAUAACGAUAUUACAAGAACAACUACAGUACAUUAUGAACCUUUUAACUGAUUUUUUUUAAAUAUAUAUAAUUAUGUAUAAAUUAGAGCUAAAUAGAAACUAAUCAACCUUUUUUUAGAUUAUUAAUAUAUUUACAAUCCUCAUAGUUUUAGAAUGUAGUAAGAUUUGUACCGAAACUACCCAGGAAAUCAAUGGAAUAGUAGAUUAUCAAACUUUGAAUUGAUGUUUCCAAUGUUGAAAUGAGCGCAGACUUGUUAAAAUAAUCUUGGAGGUAAAAUUUUAAACAUUCAGAAUUAACUAAUUUUAGAUAGACCUUUGUAACUCUAAUUUUUCAAAAAAUUCAGAGUCACAAAGGUCUAUCUCCAAAAGUAGGAUCGCUAUUUCCCAUAAUUCAUGCUGGGUAGCAAUGCACAAAUAACUGUAAUUAAACAACCUAGUGUAUAGUAUGUAGUAGAUCAAAACAUUUUGAAAUUAAAUUGUAUUCUAUUCCUUUUAUGAGCAUACAAACUUUCAUUUGCCUAUUUCUCUGAACUAGUUAAAGAGCAGAUAGACCUUGUUAACCCUCAGCUGACGA